rnacentral:lncRNA from 1 species
GAGGUUAUUCUUUUCAGAACAUAUUGUUCAAUUCUAAAACGUAUUUUCACGUAUUUGAUAUUAUAUAACAGUUGUUUUCCAGUGUUUCAUUGGUUGAGUCGAGCGUUUCAUUUUGUCAGGUUUUAUGGACUUCCCAAUUUUAUAAUUUACCUUAAAGCUCGGUGUUUUUGUUUAUACUUUUUGUAUCUUUUAUUUUGUCCAUCUUCUCUCUCGUAUUUAAUGAUCCAUUACAAGUGAUUUACAACUUCUUUAAUUUAUUGACCCCUGAUUUUUUUGAGGAUGCUAAUUCGUAUUCUAG